rnacentral:tRNA from 1 species
GCGAGAUUAGUUUAGUGGUAGAACUGGUACUUCCCAAGCAUCGGGCGCGAGUUCGAUUCUCGUAUUCCGCA